AUACGGAGGAUCCGAGCGUUAUCCGGAUUUAUUGGGUUUAAAGGGUGCGCAGGCGGGAGAUUAAGUCGGCGGGGAAAUUUUGCAGCUCAACUGUAAAAGUGCCUUCGAAACUGGGUUCCUUGAGUGUAGAUGAAGUAGGCGGAAUUUGUGGUGUAGCGGUGAAAUGCAUAGAUAUCACGAGGAACUCCGAUUGCGCAGGCAGCUUACUAAACUACUUCUGACGCUCAGGCACGAAGGCGUGGGGAUCAAACAGGAUUAGAUACCCUGGUAGUCCACGCAGUAAACGAUGAUUACUAGCUGUUUGCGAUACAAUGUAAGCGGCUGAGCGAAAGCGUUAAGUAAUCCACCUGGGGAGUACGUUCGCAAGAAUGAAACUCAAAUGAAUUGACGGGG
rnacentral:rRNA from 1 species